UCGAUGUGUACAAGGGUAUGCAAAUGUAACGGUUGGCAGUAUGAGAAACCAAAAAACAGAUCAUAUCGCAUGCGUUUUGGUCUGUCAUCCAUCCCUAAAUAUCAAAAUGCAGCCAUUAUAUCCUUUAAAGCUACGACUGCCGUGGAUUGGUAUCAUUCCUAAUCUGAGUUCUUUUACCCUGGCGUUUCAUUCGCCCUUUAAGCGAUUAGGUUGAUUUUGAUCUACAAACAUAAUCAGAUUGUGCAGCUUGGAGCUAUUGUCGGUAUCCCCUUUAUGAAACUGGUUCUCUUCAUCGUUACCAACUCUGCCUGCCACUUUACCCAGGAUCGUUGAAUUAUUUUUCAAAGAGGUGUUUCGGCUCCAUUUGUUACCUAAAAACAUUGUCAGUGAUCGGCACAGCAAGUUCUUCAAUGUGUUUUGGCAAGAGCUCUUCAGAUUGGCAUGCACAUAAUUGACACUGAGCACACAAAUGGACAGACAGAAAUAGUUAAUAAGUGGGUUGAGGGAUAUCUAAGAAAUUAUGUAGCAAGAAACUAAAAUGCUUGGAUCAAAUGGUAGUAUUUGGGAGAUAAUUGUUACAACACAACUCAUCACAUGAGUAUAGGCAUGACACCUUUCAGGGCUUUGUAUGGGUAUGAGGAAACAUCUUUUAUAGCUAUCAUGUAGCUAACAUCACAAAUUACAAAUAAAACCAUGGAAUCCUUUGUCACAUAGUUAAACUCUUCAUCAUUCCUUUGAACGUCUUGGAUGAGUUUAUUAAUUUAAAUUCACUAACUUAGACAAACACUAUAGACAAA